rnacentral:rRNA from 1 species
GAUGAACGCUGGCGGCGUGCCUAAUACAUGCAAGUCGAGCGAACAGACGAGGAGCUUGCUCCUCUGACGUUAGCGGCGGACGGGUGAGUAACACGUGGAUAACCUACCUAUAAGACUGGGAUAACUUCGGGAAACCGGAGCUAAUACCGGAUAAUAUAUUGAACCGCAUGGUUCAAUAGUGAAAGACGGUUUUGCUGUCACUUAUAGAUGGAUCCGCGCCGCAUUAGCUAGUUGGUAAGGUAACGGCUUACCAAGGCAACGAUGCGUAGCCGACCUGAGAGGGGGAUCGGCCACACUGGAACUGAGACACGGUCCAGACUCCUACGGGAGGCAGCAGUAGGGAAUCUUCCGCAAUGGGCGAAAGCCUGACGGAGCAACGCCGCGUGAGUGAUGAAGGUCUUCGGAUCGUAAAACUCUGUUAUUAGGGAAGAACAAAUGUGUAAGUAACUAUGCACGUCUUGACGGUAGCUAAUCAGAAAGCCACGGCUAACUACGUG